GACGAACGCUGGCGGCGUGCUUAACACAUGCAAGUCGAACGGAAAGGCCCUGCUUUUGUGGGGUGCUCGAGUGGCGAACGGGCGAGUAACACGUGAGUAACCUGCCCUUGACUUUGGGAUAACUUCAGGAAACUGGGGCUAAUACCGGAUAGGAGCUCCUGCUGCAUGGUGGGGGUUGGAAAGUUUCGGCGGUUGGGGAUGGACUCGCGGCUUAUCAGCUUGUUGGUGGGGUAGUGGCUUACCAAGGCUUUGACGGGUAGCCGGCCUGAGAGGGUGACCGGCCACAUUGGGACUGAGAUACGGCCCAGACUCCUACGGGAGGCAGCAGUGGGGAAUAUUGCACAAUGGGCGGAAGCCUGAUGCAGCAACGCCGCGUGCGGGAUGGCGGCCUUCGGGUUGUAAACCGCUUUCGCCUGUGACGAAGCGUGAGUGACGGUAAUGGGUAAAGAAGCACCGGCUAACUACGUG
rnacentral:rRNA from 1 species